ensembl:snoRNA U3 Small nucleolar RNA U3
AAGACUAUACUUUCAGGGAUCAUUUCUACAGUUCCUUACUAGAGAAGUUUCUCUGACUGUGUAGAGUCCCCAAAACCACAAGGAGGAGGAGCAGUGUUUUCUCGUGAAGCUGGCCCUGGGUGUUGUUUUGUGCCAGUGCCCAUCACCACUGAUGCCCGUUCUUCUCACCCCAUGGGAGAGUUAGAGGGAGGGAAUGCUGUCUGAGUGGC